AUUGAACGCUGGCGGCAGGCCUAACACAUGCAAGUCGAGCGGGGUUUUCGGACCUAGCGGCGGACGGGUGAGUAAUGCGUAGGAAGCUACCCGAUAGAGGGGGAUACCAGUUGGAAACGACUGUUAAUACCGCAUAAUGUCUACGGACCAAAGUGUGGGACCUUCGGGCCACAUGCUAUCGGAUGCGCCUACGUGGGAUUAGCUAGUUGGUGAGGUAAUGGCUCACCAAGGCGACGAUCCCUAGCUGGUUUGAGAGGAUGAUCAGCCACACUGGAACUGAAACACGGUCCAGACACCUACGUGAGGCAGCAGUGGGGAAUAUUGGACAAUGGGCGCAAGCCUGAUCCAGCCAUGCCGCGUGUGUGAAGAAGGCCUUCUGGUUGUAAAGCACUUUCAGUAGGGAGGAAGCGUUGUGUGUUAAUAGUACACAGCGUUGACGUUACCUACAGAAGAAGCACCGGCUAACUCUGUGCCAGCCGCCGCCGUAACAC
rnacentral:rRNA from 1 species